rnacentral:rRNA from 1 species
UACAGAGGGUGCAAACGUUGUUCGGAAUUACUGGGCAUAAAGCGCGCGCAGGCGGCCUGUUAAGUGUGGAGUGAAAUCCCACGGCUUACCCGUGGAACGGCUUCGCAUACUGGCAGGCUCGAGGACGGUAGGGGAGAGCGGAACUCUUGGUGGAGCGGUGAAAUGCGUAGAUAUCAAGAGGAACACCGAUGGCGAGGGCAGCUCUCUGGUCCGUAUCUGACGCUGAGGCGCGAAAGCUAGGGUAGCGAACGGG